rnacentral:rRNA from 1 species
UUCUAAGGGCGGUGAAGUCAGACCGGAAGGACUGGUGGAGCGCUUAGAAGUGAGAAUGCCGGUAUGAGUAGCGAAAGAAGGGUGAGAAUCCCUUCCACCGAAUAUCUAAGGUUUCCUGAGGAAGGCUCGUCCGCUCAGGGUUAGUCGGGACCUAAGCCGAGGCCGAUAGGCGUAGGCGAUGGACAACAGGUAGAGAUUCCUGUACCAGUGCUAAUUGUUUAACCGAUGGGGUGACACAGAAGGAUAGGGAAUCGCACGAAUGGAAAUGUGCGUCCAAGCAGUGAGUGUGAGAAGUAGGCAAAUCCGCUUCUCGCGAAGCAUGAGCUGUGAUGGGGAAGGAAAUUAAGUACGGAAGUUCCUGAUUUCACGCUGUCAAGAAAAGCCUCUAGGAAGAGUAGUACUGCCCGUACCGCAAACCGACACAGGUAGAUGAGGAGAGAAUCCUAAGGUGAGCGAGAGAACUCUCGUUAAGGAACUCGGCAAAAUGACCCCGUAACUUCGGGAGAAGGGGUGCUCUAUUAGGGUGCAAGCCCGAGAGAGCCGCAGUGAAUAGGCCCAGGCGACUGUUUAGCAAAAACACAGGUCUCUGCAAAACCGUAAGGUGACGUAUAGGGGCUGACGCCUGCCCGGUGCUGGAAGGUUAAGAGGAGUGCUUAGCUUCGGCGAAGGUACGAAUUGAAGCCCCAGUAAACGGCGGCCGUAACUAUAACGGUCCUAAGGUAGCGAAAUUCCUUGUCGGGUAAGUUCCGACCCGCACGAAAGGCGCAACGAUCUGGGCACUGUCUCAACGAGAGACUCGGUGAAAUUAUAGUACCUGUGAAGAUGCAGGUUACCCGCGACAGGACGGAAAGACCCCGUGGAGCUUUACUGCAACCUGAUAUGGAAUGUUUGUACCGCUUGUACAGGAUAGGUAGGAGCCGAAGAGACGUGUGCGCUAGCAUACGAGGAGGCAAUGGUGGGAUACUACCCUGGCUGUA